GGUUCCGUAGCUCAGCUGGAUAGAGCGGUCGCCUCCUAAGCGACAGGUCGGUGGUUCAAAUCCACUCGGAGCCACCA
rnacentral:tRNA from 1 species